UGGGACGUGGUGUACGGUGCACCGCAGUAUUCAAUAGAUUUUGAAAUGACGAAGUAAAGCAGCAGGCCGGGGUUCGACUCCCCGCGUCCCAA